rnacentral:miRNA from 1 species
AUCUUUCUGCCUGCAUCACUUUAAAAAUGUUGAUUAAAGAAUUGGGGGUGGGGGGUGGGGAGGGAGAGUA